rfam:Picea glauca, whole genome shotgun sequence.
UGGUGCGAUCAUACCAACGUUAAUGCAUGGUAUCCCAUCAGAACUCCGCAGUUAAGCGUGCUUGGGCCCGAGUAGUACUGGGAUGGGUGACCUCCCGGGAAGUCCUAAUGUUACACCCU